CGGGACAAUGGAGGAACUCUGAUGCAGCAACGCCGCGUGGAGGAUGACGCAUUUCGGUGUGUAAACUCCUUUUAUGAGUCAAGAAAUGACGGUAGCUCAUGAAUAGCACCGGCUACUCCGUGCCAGCAGCCGCGGUAAUACGGAGGGUGCAAGCGUUACUCGGAUCACUGGGCGUAAAGGACGCGUAGGCGGGUUUGUAAGUCAGGUGUGAAAUCCUACAGGCUUAACUGUAGAACUGCACUUGAAACUUCUAAUCUAGAGUAUGGGGAGGGGGAGAUGGAAUUAGUGGUGUAGGGGGUAAAAUCCGUAGAUAUCACUAGGAAUACCCAAAGCGAAGGCGAUCUCCUGGAACAUAACUGACGCUAAGGCGUGAAAGCGUGGGGAGCAAACGGGAUUAGAUACCCCGGUAGUCCACGCCCUAAACGAUGAACGCUAGUCGUCGUGAUGCUUGUCAUUGCGGUGAUGCACUUAACAGAUUAAGUGUUCCGCCUGGGGGAGUACGGUCGCAAGAUUAAAACUCAAAGGAAUAGACGGGGACCCGCACAAGUGGUGGGAGCAUGUGGUUUAAUUCGAAGAUACGCGAAGAACCUUACCUAGCCUUGACAUUGAUAGAAUCCCGCAGAGAUGUAGGAGUGCCCUUCGGGGAGCUUGAAACAGGUGCUGCACGGCUGUCGUCAGCUCGUGUCGUGAGAUGUUGGGUUAAGUCCCGCAACGAGCGCAACCCCUCGUCCUUAGUUGCCAGCAGGUUAAGCUGGGCACUCUAAGGAGACUGCCUUCGCAAGAAGGAGGAAGGUGAGGACGACGUCAAGUCAUCAUGGCCCUUAUGGCUAGGGCUACACACGUGCUACAAUGGGGCGUACAGAGUGUUGCGGUACCGCGAGGUGGAGCCAAUCACUUAAAGCGUCUCUCAGUUCGGAUUGGAGUCUGCAACUCGACUCCAUGAAGCUGGAAUCACUAGUAAUCGUAGAUCAGCAAUGCUACGGUGAAUACGUUCCCGGGUCUUGUACUCACCGCCCGUCACACCAUGGGAGUUGAUUUCACCCGAAAUUGGGAAGCUAACCUUCGGGAGGCUACCACUUACGGUGGGAUUAGCGACUGGGGUGAAGUCGUAACAAGGUAACCGUAGGAGAACCUGCGGCUGGAUCACCUCCUUUCU
rnacentral:rRNA from 1 species